rfam:Pseudomonas fluorescens Pf-5, complete genome.
UACCCAGUUUCGGGGACCUUGGUACAGGCAGGCCGGGGAUUCCCCUCUUUAACACCAGGCUCGGCACGCACAUCGCGACGGCCAAAGGUUUCGGGAACCCCAGUACAGGCAGGCUGGGACUUCCCUCUUUAACACCAGGCCCACCCCGCUCACAGCGACGGGCCAGGCUUUCGGGAACCCCGGUACAGGCAGGCCGGGACUUCCCUCUUUAAUACCCGGCCC